rnacentral:misc_RNA from 1 species
GAUGAAGAACGCAGCGAAAUGCGAUAAGUAAUGCGAAUUGCAGAAUUCAGUGAGUCAUCGAAUCUUUGAACGCACAUUGCGCCCGCCAGUAUUCUGGCGGGCAUGCCUGUCCGAGCGUCAUUUCAACCCUCGAACCCCUCCGGGGGGUCGGCGUUGGGGAUCGGGAACCCCUAAGACGGGAUCCCGGCCCCGAAAUACAGUGGCGGUCUCGCCGCAGCCUCUCCUGCGCAGUAGUUUGCACAACUCGCACCGGGAGCGCGGCGCGUCCACGUCCGUAAAACACCCAACUUCUGAAAUGUUGACCUCGGAUCAGGUAGGAAUACCCGCUGAACUUAAGCAUAUCAAUAAGCGGAGGA